rnacentral:rRNA from 1 species
GUAAGCUAACGCGUUAAGCGGACCGCCUGGGGAGUACGGCCGCAAGGCUAAAACUCAAAGGAAUUGACGGGGACCCGCACAACCGGUGGAGCGUGUGGUUCAAUUCGAGACGAAGCGAAGCACCUUACCAGGGUUUGACAUGAUACCGUUUUAUACUUUUGGAAACAUUAGUAGAUCUCGCAAGAGAUGGUACCACAGGUGUUGCAUGGCUGUCGUCAGCUCGUGCCGUGAGGUGUUCCCUUAAGUGGGGAAACGAGCGCAACCCCCAUCCAAUGUUACAUAUUCAUUGGAGACUGCUCCGAUUUUAUCGGGGAGGAAGGAGGGGAAGACGUCAAGUCCGCACGGCCCUUAUACCCUCGGUUACACACACCCUACAAAGGCGAAAAACAACGUGUUGCAAGCCGGCAACGGCAAGCUAAUCACUGAAAUUUCGCCCCAGUUCAGAUUGGGGUCUGCAACCCGACCCCAUGAAGUCGGAAUCGGUAGUAAUCGCGGAUCAGCAGGCCGCGGUGAAUACGUUCUCGGGUCUUGUACACACCGCCCGUCAAGGCAGCAAAGUUGGGGGUAGCUGAAACCUUUCGUAAGAAGGACUAGGUUAAAUCCAGCGAUGAGGCUUAAGUCGUAACAAGGUAUCCCUACCCGAAGGUGGGGAUGGAUCACCUCCUUU